AUACGAGAGGGUGCAGGCGUUAAUCGGAAUUACUGGGCGUAAAGCGCGCGUAGGUGUUUGUUAAGUUGGAUGUGAAAUCCCCGGGCUCAACCUGGGAACUGCAUUCAAAACUGACUGACUAGAGUAUGGUAGAGGGUGGUGGAAUUUCCUGUGUAGCGGUGAAAUGCGUAGAUAUAGGAAGGAACACCAGUGGCGAAGGCGACCACCUGGACUGAUACUGACACUGAGGCGCGAAAGCGUGGGGAGC
rnacentral:rRNA from 1 species